UGGCUCAGUGGUAGAGUGCUUGCCUUGCAUGCAUGAGUUCCUGGGUUCAAUUCCUCAG
rfam:Dipodomys ordii contig_41336, whole genome shotgun sequence.